GCCCCGUAGUACCGCGACCCGGCAUCGGGAUGCGGUUAAAGUCUUCGGGCGGUACAAGAUGGCCAUGCGUCCCAUUAGCUAGUUGGUAAGGUAACGGCUUACCAAGGCUACGAUGGGUAGGGGCCCUGAGAGGGGGAUCCCCCACACUGGUACUGAGACACGGACCAGACUCCUACGGGAGGCAGCAGUGAGGAAUAUUGGACAAUGGAGGAGACUCUGAUCCAGCCAUGCCGCGUGCAGGAAGAAUGCCCUAUGGGUAGUAAACUGCUUUUAUACGGGAAGAAAAAGAGCUACGUGUAGCUUACUGACGGUACCGUAAGAAUAAGGACCGGCUAACUCCGUGCCAGCAGCCGCGGUAAUACGGAGGGUCCGAGCGUUAUCCGGAAUUAUUGGGUUUAAAGGGUCCGUAGGCGGGCCGAUAAGUCAGGGGUGAAAGUCUGCCGCUCAACGGUAGAACUGCCUUUGAUACUGUCGGUCUUGAGUUAUAGUGAAGUUGCCGGAAUAUGUAGUGUAGCGGUGAAAUGCAUAGAUAUUACAUAGAACACCGAUU
rnacentral:rRNA from 1 species